rnacentral:rRNA from 1 species
UACGUAGGGUGCGAGCGUUGUCCGGAAUUACUGGGCGUAAAGAGCUCGUAGGUGGUUUGUCGCGUUGUUCGUGAAAACUCACAGCUCAACUGUGGGCGUGCGGGCGAUACGGGCAGACUGGAGUACUGCAGGGGAGACUGAAAUUCCUGGUGUAGCGGUGGAAUGCGCAGAUAUCAGGAGGAACACCGGUGGCGAAGGCGGGUCUCUGGGCAGUAACUGACGCUGAGGAGCGAAAGCGUGGGGAGCGAACAGG